rnacentral:lncRNA from 1 species
UCAAUCUCCCCUUCCCCCUCCCUCGAGGCAACUGUGGUUCUUGUCAUCAAUACCCCAACCUUGCAGCUACCGAUCCCAAGGGACCACCGUUGUGGCCACCACCAGGGAGAUGAGAUUGGAGUUGAAGGGGAGAGAUAUUAGGGAUUUGGAGGAGGGGCGUGAAACCUAGGAGGAUUUGGGGAGCUCAUCGAUGACAUCGGCAUGGGGGA